AAAAAAGCGGAGAUGAAAAAAUCUCGAAGCUCCCGAACAGGUCCUGAAACGAAACGUCUGGUCCGCGGUCAGGAUGCGCUUCUUCCGAUGACUCGUGCCGUACCGGAGGCCGUAUGGAUUCCGGCAUCAAUGUGGUUGCGGCACUUGGAAAAAUCAUCGGAAAAAUCUAUUGACGGCGGAUGCGAUAAAUUUGCCAACGAUUUUGAAUGCGGAUUCGAAUAAACCGUACGCCGCUGAUCGAUCUGCCGCUGGAGUUUUUUGAGCAAGUGCUGUGCGUCUGGAUGCCUGGAUGCCAAGCCGUGUGGAUGCCUGCCUCCAGAAUGAAUGUGCUGCAGCGAGAAAAACCGCACCAGUUUGAAAGCCCUUGAACAAAAGAUACCAGCAAUUAGUCAGACAAUGUUUACAUGGAUGCCGGCAUAAUUAUCGGAUGAGUCAACCCGUGUCCGUGCUACACAAGCAUUUUAAAAUCAUGGACUUUAAUUCAUCGCUAGGAAUAUGUGGAUGCAGGAUGAUAUCUAUUGUAAAAAAAGGGAUGAGCUCAUUUGAAUCCGAACGGAAAACAUGAUCAAAACGAUUUAGUAUAGGGAUUCUAGGUUUUCCGAGUUAGAAAACAUUUGAUCAAACUCUAGUUUGAAACAACAGUACAUACAUAUCGAACUAUUUAAUUUUUCGUUGGAAUUCCUGGAGGAACUUCCUGAUGGAACUUCCGAAGGAAUU